rnacentral:tRNA from 1 species
GCUUGGGGUUUAGUUUGGUGGUAGAAUGCUUGCCUAGCAUGCAAGAGGCCCUGUGUUUAAUCCCUAGCAGAGAG